UCCAACCCCUCAACAAACAGAGC
rnacentral:piRNA from 1 species